rnacentral:tRNA from 1 species
ACCGCACGGACCGACGGCGUCGUGUCGCCGGCCUCGUACGCCUGCAGGAUCUGCCCGAUCGUCGUGGGCGGGCGGUGC